CAUAGCACAAAAUUAAGCAUUUUAUUGUGCACUUUUAUUGUAAUUUAAAGUUUGAAUAAGCAUAUUUGAGCAUUUAUUUUAUUAAGUUUCAGAGGGGAAGUUCCGCGUCCCUUGUUGUCAAUGAGCAAUCUGUGAGGCUUGUGUGGCAUAUUGUUGCCGGAUUCGGUCCUCCGUGGAUGCGUCAGCAAGAACACAGCAAAAGGCGCCUCCUCUGUCAACGCGCUAAGACUUGCCUCCGCUGACAGCAUGCUCAGAGACAUCCCUGCUGGUGCUGAGCGCAGCACGCCCACGCAGCAACGAACCUGCACUCAAUCAAUAAUCGACACACCUGAACUUGAUGAAAGGGAGCGGCAUAAAGACCAGCAGACCCGAGGAACCUUUGCCAGAACGUCGCUAUCUUCCCAUGACUCCCCUGUCUUCCACGAUCGUACCUUGCCUCUCGACAUCCAUCCGGAUUCCUAACUGCCUUCCUCGAUCCACGACCUCCCUGCUCGGACCCAGACCACGCUGCCUCGCUCCUGCCCCCAAACUCUUGCCUGCUCACCAACUUCCUCUUCGCCUUGCCCCUCUGGAUUCGACGAAGGAUACAACCAACACUCACAGACAACAAACCCUGGUAACAUUUCCACGAUUAAUAUUACACAUAGUCAACACUCAUUCACUUAGAGUAGCAUACACACGCCAUGUAAUCAUUAAAGGUUUAACUAAACCUUGUGAACCACCUCCGUCCCUCCUCUGUACAUAACACUAUAUAAAUAAACUUUGAUUGAUUGCAA